rnacentral:SRP_RNA from 1 species
GCCGGGCGUGGUGGCGCACGCCUGUAAUCCCAGCUACUCGGGAGGCUGACGCAGGAGAAUCGCUUGAACCCAGGAGGCGGAGGUUGCAGUGAGUCGAGAUUGAGCCACUGCACUUCAGCCUGGGUGACACAGCGAGACUCCAUCUCAA